rnacentral:rRNA from 1 species
GAUUUUAAAAGUCGAACAGAGUUAAAAUUUAAACUACUGCACCUAAAAUUAUAUCUUAAUCCAACAUCGAGGUCGCAAUCUUUUUUAUCAAUAUGAACUCUCCAAAAAAAUUACGCUGUUAUCCCUAAAGUAACUUAAUUUUAUAAUCAUUAAAAAUGGAUCAUAUAUUCAUAAAUCAAUGAUAUAAAUUUUAAAAGUUAUUCAAAUUUUAAUAUCACCCCAAUAAAAUAUAUUAUAUUAUUAUAAUCAAAUAAAUCCUAAAAAUUAAAAUAAAAUACAUAUAUAAAGAUUUAUAGGGUCUUCUCGUCUUUUAAAAAAAUUUUAGCUUUUUGACUAAAAAAUAAAAUUUUAUUUUAAAUUUAAAUGAAACAGUUAAUAUUUCGUCCAACCAUUCAUUCCAGCCUUCAAUUAAAAGACUAUUGAUUAUGCUACCUUUGCACAGUUAAAAUACUGCGGCCAUUUAAAAAAUCAGUGGGCAGGUUAGACUUUAAAUUAAUUUCUAAAA